UACGUAGGCAGCGAGCGUUGUUCGGAGUUACUGGGCGUAAAGGGUGUGUAGGCGGUUGUUUAAGUUUGGUGUGAAAUCUCCCGGCUCAACUGGGAGGGUGCGCCGAAUACUGAAUGACUAGAGUGCGGGAGAGGAAAGUGGAAUUCCUGGUGUAGCGGUGAAAUGCGCAGAUAUCAGGAGGAACACCGGUGGCGAAGGCGGGUCUCUGGACAGUUCCUGACGCUGAGGCACGAAGGUCAGGGGAGCAAACGGG
rnacentral:rRNA from 1 species